rnacentral:rRNA from 1 species
CGAGCACUUAUAAGUGCUUGAGUAACCAAAAAAAUUAGGAAAGAAAUCGUUAAGGGCGUAUGGCGGAUGCCUAGGCUUUCAGAGGCGACGAAGGACGUGGUAAGCUGCGAAAAGCUACGGGGAUUGGCACACACGAAUAGAUCCGUAGAUAUCCGAAUGGGGCAACCCAAUACAUUGAAGAUGUAUUACUGCGUAAGCAGAGCAAACCCGGAGAACUGAAACAUCUAAGUACCCGGAGGAAAAGAAAUCGAAGAGAUUCCGUAAGUAGUGGC